GGCCUACCAAGGCGACGAUCCGUAGCUGGUCUGAGAGGACGACCAGCCACACUGGGACUGAGACACGGCCCAGACUCCUACGGGAGGCAGCAGUGGGGAAUUUUGGACAAUGGGGGCAACCCUGAUCCAGCAAUGCCGCGUGUGUGAAGAAGGCCUUCGGGUUGUAAAGCACUUUUGUCCGGAAAGAAAUCCUUUGGGCUAAUACCUUGAGGGGAUGACGGUACCGGAAGAAUAAGCACCGGCUAACUACGUGCCAGCAGCCGCGGUAAUACGUAGGGUGCAAGCGUUAAUCGGAAUUACUGGGCGUAAAGCGUGCGCAGGCGGUUCGCUAAGACAGAUGUGAAAUCCCCGGGCUUAACCUGGGAACUGCAUUUGUGACUGGCGGGCUAGAGUAUGGCAGAGGGGGGUAGAAUUCCACGUGUAGCAGUGAAAUGCGUAGAGAUGUGGAGGAAUACCGAUGGCGAAGGCAG
rnacentral:rRNA from 1 species